CCGCCAUAAAACUAAAAGGAGAAGAAUAAGCAGAAAAAAAAAAAAAACAGAAAAAAAAAACAGGAAAUUCUGCAGAAACGAAAAGUUCGAGUCGUUUUCAAGGCAAAGAUGGCUUGCUUUGACAGCAAUAAGUGCAGUUUGGAGGAGGACAGCUAUGAAGGAGCUGUUGGGGGAGAGCUGUCCAACUGUGCGUUGGCAAUGCUGGAAAAGGAGCGGGAAUCCCUUCUCAGCCCUUCAGAGAGCCCUGGCACCUACAUCAGCAGCAACACUAGUCUUCCAGCUGCUGCCCCCGUCCAGGGCUAUGACGUGGAGUUUGACCCACCCUUAGAGAGUAAAUAUGAGUGCCCUAUCUGCCUCAUGGCGUUGAGGAAUGCCAUUCAAACACCCUGCGGCCACCGUUUCUGCAAGAACUGCAUUGAGAAGUCCAUUCGUGAUACAGGACAGAGGUGCCCUGUGGACAAUGAAAUGCUGUCAGAAGACCAGCUGUUUCCUGAUAACUUUGCCAAACGCGAGAUUCUAUCACUAACUGUUCGCUGUCAAAACUCCGGCUGUGCUGAGAAAAUGGAGCUCCGACAUUUAGAGAACCAUUUGGCACAAUGUCAGUUUGCCACUGAGCCUUGCCCACAAUGCCAACAGUCCGUGAGAAAGAGCCACCUCGAGGAGCACAUAACUGUUGAGUGCCAAAGGAGACCUGUGUCGUGUCCAGAUUGUGUGGCAAGCUUUGUUUAUGAGGAUAGAGAGCUCCAUGAACAGCAGUGCCCUUUUGCCAGUGUGACUUGCCAGUACUGUGACUUGGAUCUCAUCAGAGACCAGAUGGAUUCUCAUUGUGACACAGAUUGCCCAAAAGCACCCAUCGCGUGUAACUUUAGUGCCUUUGGAUGUAAGGAAAGGAUGCAACGCCACAACCUGGCUCAGCACAUGCAGGAGUUCACACAGAUGCAUAUGCGCUACAUGGCUGACUUCCUGCGUAGCCUUAGCCUUAACGGCACCACACCCAAAUCCCUGUGGGCCCUAGGGCCGUCGGUUUCCUCUGAGGAUCAAGGAGCGGCAGCAUCAGUGUCAGCCUGCAGUGGGCCCAGAGGAGCUGUGAGCUGCAGCAGCAAUGCUUCAUGUCAACCUAAGGAGGAGAUGCUGAGGCUCAGGGACAUGGAUGGACGAUUGGUAAAGCAGGAUCACCAGCUGCGUGAGCUCAUCAUCUUAAAAGAAACACAGGCUGGCCAGCUUGCAGAGCUCAGGCGUAGAGUGUCAAUUCUGGAGGAGACAGUGAAGGAGCUGGAGUGUCAGCAGUGUCACGGUAUCUUUGUCUGGCGCCUCAAAGGUUUCUCUGGCCACCUGCGGAGCCAAGAAGCAGGCCUGCCAGUGGUUGAGCACAGCCCCGGCUUCUACACAGGCCGACCAGGCUACAGGCUGUGCCUGCGCUUACACCUGCAGACCCCCAACGCGCCGCGCUGCUCCAACUAUAUCUCUCUCUUUGUCCACACCAUGCAAGGAGCUUUUGAUGGGCAGCUGACCUGGCCGUUCCAGGGCACUAUUCGCCUUGCCAUCCUAGACCAGGGCCCCGAGGGUCAGCACCACACAGAGGUGAUGGAGACUAAACCAGACCUGCAAGCCUUCCAGAAGCCCACCAUCCAGCGCAACCCCAAAGGAUUCGGCUACGUCACCUUUAUGCACCUGCAUCAGCUAAAUCAGAGAGCCUAUGUUAAAGAUGAUACUCUACUUAUCCGCUGCGAGGUGACACCACGUUUUGACAAUAUGCAUCACCGCGAGGGGCCGACAGUGCAGCCUAGAGGACCCGAGGCCUCAGUGUCGAGGGACUAAAGUCAGACUCAUAUCUCCUUGAUGAUCACCAUGCCGAGAUGUCAGUACAAUAUAUCCCUCAGUGUUUAAAUACCGCUGACUUCAUUUUAAUUGAUGGACAGGAGGAGGUUCAAAACCAUUUGAAAUUCAGAUGUCGCAAGUGAAACAAGAUACAGAAGGGUAUCAUGUCAGCUGGAGAAGAGGAAGCGGCAGCGAAGAAACAAGUCUGGCCAUGUCCACACAAAAGGAGAGCUACUGUACAUGAUGCCCCUUGGUUCUAUGGUAUUAAGACAUGGCAGUAAUAUAGUUAGCAACUUACAGCAAAAAGUGAAGAAGAAAACUACUAGCUGGCGUUAGCCUAUGGAUAUUUGGAAACAAUGCAAGUUUCAAGAGUCUGCUUUGAGGCAGGAACUGUACUUAAAGGUACAAUACAUACAGUGAAUUCUGAUGAGAAACAGAACCGAAACUGUAAACAUAACAUUUGGUUUACACCAGAACCCCAGAGGGUAGUUAUUAACUGAACUCAUUGUGAGGAAUAGGAGCAGCAAAACUCACAUUCAUGUGCUUUCCAAAUUCAGCAUUUCAUGCUUCAUUACUUUUGACUACUGUUCUUAGGGCAUCACUGUGACAUAAGCAGCAGAAUAGAACCGCACAACAGCAUAAUACUGUACAGAUGUGCAGAUUUGUCAGUAAGUUGCUCAUUUUGCUUUUGAUAGAAUUUCUGAUGUCGUUCAAACAAGUUCCUACCUAAUGGGGCCUAGAAAAAUAUAUCAAGAGUAGACGUAAAUCCAAAAUCAUGGAUCAGUGUCUUUCCUUUAAAACCACAUGCUGCCUUAAGCCUUUACGUGAUGUAAUAAAUAUAUUGUAUUUUUAGUUUUAGUCUUGUUCCUCCAUUUGUAACAUCGAAUUGUGAUUUUGCCUUUCAAAGUAAUUGUGUAAACUGACUGUGUAAACCACGGGUCUCAAACUCAAACUGGCUUGGGGCCACUGCUGGUAUUGUCAUCUCAUAGGAGAGUAAUAUUCUGAAAAUAUUGACAUUACUAACAUCUUACAAAAAAUAAAACAUACAAACAACAGUUUGUAUACACUUUAUCUCAUUUUAAAUCAUCUUUGUUCACAGCCAAAUAGCAAAUGAAUACCUGAAAUCUGCUCUCUUUUUAUCAACUGUUUGCAUGCAUUUGUGGGCUCCUUUGACCUUAAAAAUAGAAUAGUGUUUUUAUUUUUAAUGGUUUAGGAAAUUAUAGAUUAAAUUCAUGUGAAAUAAUAAAAAAAUAUAUUUCCGGCCAGGAGGGAGGGGGAUGGAGGGCCAGAAAUUGCCCCUGAACCGGCGGUUUGAGAUCCCUGGUGUAAACAAUGAUCACUCUUAAUGUUAUUAACUGAAUGGGGUUAUUUUUUGAAUACCCCUAUUCAGUUAAUUAUAUGAUACUGAGGAAAAUAGCCGUAAGUUAAAGCUAAGCUCAGAGCCACUGUAAUGUCUGACAUUUCAUGUCUUAUACUGACUUUGACCAUACAUUAAAACAAUAUGUAGUUUUAUUUC